AAGCGGCAACAGCUCAAAUUUGAAAUCUGGCCCUAGGCCCGAGUUGUAAUUUGUAGAGGAUGCUUCUGGUGCGGUGCCUUCUGAGUUCCCUGGAACGGGACGCCAGAGAGGGUGAGAGCCCCGUAUAGUUGGACACCAAGCCUCUGUGAAGCCCCUUCGACGAGUCGAGUAGUUUGGGAAUGCUGCUCAAAAUGGGAGGUAAACUUCUUCUAAAGCUAAAUACCGGCCAGAGACCGAUAGCGCACAAGUAGAGUGAUCGAAAGAUGAAAAGCACUUUGAAAAGAGGGUUAAAAAGUACGUGAAACAAUUGAAAAGGAAGCACUUGUGACCAGACUUGUGCCGUGCGAAUCAUCCAGCGUUCUCGUUGGUGCACUUUGCGCGGUUCAGGCCAGCAUCGGUUUUUCUAGGGGGAUAAAAGCUCUGGGAACGUGGCUCCUCCGGGAGUGUUAUAGCCCUCUGCACAAUACCCUUGGGGGGACCGAGGUUCGCGCUCUGCAAGGAUGCUGGCGUAAUGGUCAUCAGUGGCCCGUCUUGAAACACGGACCAAGGAGUCAAGCAUUAGGGCGAGUGUUUGGGUGUAAAACCCGCACGCGUAAUGAAAGUGAACGUAGGUGAGAGCUUCGGCGCAUCAUCGACCGAUCCUGAUGUAUUCGGAUGGAUUUGAGUAAGAGCCUUACCGCUUGGACCCGAAAGAUGGUGAACUAUGCUUGUAUAGGGUGAAGCCAGAGGAAACUCUGGUGGAGGCUCGCAGCGGUUCUGACGUGCAAAUCGAUCGUCAAAUAUGAGCAUGGGGGCGAAAGACUAAUCGAACUAUCUAGUAGCUGGUUACCGCCGAAGUUUCCCUCAGGAUAGCAGUGUUGUUUUCAGUUUUAUGAGGUAAAGCGAAUGAUUAGGGACUCGGGGGCGCUAUUUAGCCUUCAUCCAUUCUCAAACUUUAAAUAUGUAAGAAGCCCUUGUUACUUUAUUGAACGUGGGCCUUCGAAUGUAUCAACACUAGUGGGCCAUUUUUGGUAAGCAGAACUGGCGAUGCGGGAUGAACCGAACGCGGGGUUAAGGUGCCGGAGUGGACGCUCAUCAGACACCACAAAAGGCGUUAAUACAUCUUGACAGCAGGACGGUGGCCAUGGAAGUCGGAAUCCGCUAAGGACUGUGUAACAACUCACCUGCCGAAUGUAUUAGCCCUGAAAAUGGAUGGCGCUCAAGCGUCCCACCCAUACCCCGCCCUCAGGGUAGAAACGAUGCCC
rnacentral:rRNA from 1 species